rnacentral:lncRNA from 1 species
GCUUGAUCCUCUAAAAGGCUGCAAUCGAAGUGUCAGGCAGGACUAGGUUCUCAUCUAAAAGUCCGGUUUGGCAUGAAUUGGCUUUAAACUCAGGUUAUUGGCAACAUCCACGUUUGGCGACGUGUUAGACUAAGGGCUUUGAGUUUUGCUGGCUGUCAGUCAGAGGCUACUUUCAGGGCCUUGUCGUGUGUGUCUCCCACCAUGGCUCCUUUCUUCAUCAGAGACAGCAAGGGAGAGAGACUCUCAUCUGGACAGAUGUCGUCAUCUUGUUUAGUAUAAUUAUGAAAGGGUUGUCCCAUCAGCGUGGCUGUGUCCUAUUGGUAAUCCCGUCACACUCUAAGGGUGAAGACUGCACGAAGUCAUGAACACCAGAAGGCAGGAAUGAUGGAAGCUCUCCAAGAGUCUCUCCUGAAUAAUCUCACUGCACAUCUUGAUCAAGACCAGGAGCGAGGAUACACAGCCAGUGCUUCACGAGUGGUGAGUAAACAAUACAUAUUGGCUGCUGCUAACGUUGCGGUUGCUGUCCUUGUUUAGCCGUUCAGGAAUUGCUUGACUUUUGACUAAUUUACCUAAGACCU